rnacentral:rRNA from 1 species
UACGAGGGGGCGAGCGUUGUUCGGAAUUAUUGGGCGUAAAGGGUGCGUAGGCGGUUUGGUAAGUCUUAUGUGAAAUCUACAGGCUCAACUUGUAGUCUGCAUGAGAAACUGCCGGGCUUGAGUAUGGGAGAGGUGAGUGGAAUUCCUGGUGUAGCGGUGAAAUGCGUAGAUAUCAGGAGGAACACCAAUAGCGAAGGCAGCUCGCUGGGACGUUACUGACACUGAGGCGCGAAAGCGUGGGGAGCGAACAGG